rnacentral:rRNA from 1 species
GACGAACGCUGGCGGCGUGCUUAACACAUGCAAGUCGAACGGAAAGGCCCUGCUUUUGUGGGGUGCUCGAGUGGCGAACGGGUGAGUAACACGUGAGUAACCUGCCCUUGACUUUGGGAUAACUUCAGGAAACUGGGGCUAAUACCGGAUAGGAGCUCCUGCUGCAUGGUGGGGGUUGGAAAGUUUCGGCGGUUGGGGAUGGACUCUCGGCUUAUCAGCUUGUUGGUGGGGUAGUGGCUUACCAAGGCUUUGACGGGUAGCCGGCCUGAGAGGGUGACCGGCCACAUUGGGACUGAGAUACGGCCCAGACUCCUACGGGAGGCAGCAGUGGGGAAUAUUGCACAAUGGGCGGAAGCCUGAUGCAGCAACGCCGCGUGCGUGAUGACGGCCUUCGGGUUGUAAACCGCUUUCGCCUGUGACGAAGCGUGAGUGACGGUAAUGGGUAAAGAAGCACCGGCUAACUACGUG